rnacentral:rRNA from 1 species
AUUGAACGCUGGCGGCAUGCCUUACACAUGCAAGUCGAACGGUAACAGGUUAAGCUGACGAGUGGCGAACGGGUGAGUAAUGUAUCGGAACGUGCCCAGUCGUGGGGGAUAACUACUCGAAAGAGUGGCUAAUACCGCAUACGACCUGAGGGUGAGAGCGGGGGAUCGCAAGACCUCGCGCGAUUGGAGCGGCCGAUAUCAGAUUAGGUAGUUGGUGGGGUAAAGGCCCACCAAGCCGACGAUCUGUAGCUGGUCUGAUAGGACGACCAGCCACACUGGGACUGAGACACGGCCCAGACUCCUACGGGAGGCAGCAGUGGGGAAUUUUGGACAAUGGGCGCAAGCCUGAUCCAGCCAUGCCGCGUGCGGGAAGAAGGCCUUCGGGUUGUAAACCGCUUUUGUCAAGGAAGAAAAGGUUCUGGCUAAUAUCCGGGACUCAUGACGGUACCUGAAGAAUAAGCACCGGCUAACUACGUGCCAGCAGCCGCAGUAAGAC